rnacentral:lncRNA from 1 species
CAUAUUUCCAACAAUCUUAUUCUACUAACAGAUUGAGAGAUAGCUUUUUGUCUGCCUAUGAAACUACACACAUAAUUUUCUAAAAUUAGAUUUGCUACUGUUCUAUGUAUUGACCCAUUAGUGGACAUAUAGUUAUUUUAAAUUCCUUACUGUUUUUCAACAGAAGUAAAUUGUAUGUGUAUCAGUAUAUUAGGGUUCUCAAGAAGGACAGAACCAAUAGGACAGAUAUAUGAGAGGAUAAUUAUUACAGUAAUUGACUCUUGUUAUUAUGAGGCUUGAGACGUUUGACAAUAGGUCAUCUGCAGGCUGGAGAACCAUGGGGACUAUUAGCAUGGCUAAGUUCAAGUCCAAAGGCCUCAGAAUCAGGGAAGUUAAUGGUAUAACUCUCAGUGUUAGGCUAAAGGCUUAAGAAACUAGAGGGUCACUGGUGUGAGUCUUGAAGGGGAAAGCACAGAGAACUGGGAGUUCUGAAGUUAAAGUGUAGG